AGAGUUUGAUCAUGGCUCAGGAUGAACGCUAGCGGCAGGCUUAACACAUGCAAGUCGAGGGGCAGCACGAUGUAGCAAUACAUUGGUGGCGACCGGCGCACGGGUGCGUAACACGUAUGGAAUCUGCCUUGUACUGGGAGAUAGCCCUCCGAAAGGAGGAUUAAUAUCCCAUAAUAAGUUGAGUGGCAUCACUUGGCUUUGAAAGCUCCGGCGGUACAAGAUGACCAUGCGCACGAUUAGCUAGUUGGUGAGGUAACGGCUCACCAAGGCUACGAUCGUUAGGGGGCCUGAGAGGGUUAUCCCCCACACUGGUACUGAGACACGGACCAGACUCCUACGGGAGGCAGCAGUGAGGAAUAUUGCGCAAUGGAGGCAACUCUGACGCAGCCAUGCCGCGUGCAGGAAGAAGGCGCUACGCGUUGUAAACUGCUUUUAACCGGGAAGAAACCCCAGGACGUGUCCUGGGUGACGGUACCGGAGAAUAGACCGAUCGC
rnacentral:rRNA from 1 species